UACGAAGGGGGCUAGCGUUGUUCGGAAUUACUGGGCGUAAAGGGCGCGUAAGCGGCCUUCUAAGUCAGACGUGAAAUCCCCCGGCUUAACCUGGGAACUGCGUCUGAUACUGGGAGGCUUGAGUAUGGGAGAGGGAUGUAGAAUUCCAGGUGUAGCGGUGAAAUGCGUAGAUAUCUGGAGGAAUACCGGUGGCGAAGGCGGCAUCCUGGACCAUAACUGACGCUGAGGCGCGAAAGCUAGGGGAGCAAACGGG
rnacentral:rRNA from 1 species